CUACGGUUGUGGUUGAAAUGGAUUCUUAAUUUUCUUUGUCAUUUUUCGUUAAGUUAUCAAGAAAUCAAAAAUACAGCAAAACAGGAAACAAAGCAGUCUUUCAAAAUUGAACAAAAAAACGUGUCUAAACUCUAAACGAACCCCAGAAACCGAAAAAUUUGCAUGAUGAAUUGUGAAAAUGGAUAAACAGAAUGAAAAUCACCAAUAGGAAGUUUCCACAUAUAGUGCUCUAUUACUUUAUUUUCAAAGGACUCCUCUUUUUCAUUUCAUCUAAAUUGCCCUGGAAUUUUCCUAUAAUUUUUGAAUCUGAAGAUCCUAUCACCUUUUCCUAGCAAAAAUCUAAACAAAAUGAGUCACUUACAGUUUGGGUUCCACUGUUCACGUUCACCUCCAGUUGUUUCCUACGAUAUUCCACGUGGUACUUGUACGAAUUUGAAGUUUUAAACGUAGAAAAGUUUGGUCCACCUCCUCUUCAGGCGGCAGCAGCCAGCGAUCGCUACAUUACGUUCGUACGGUGCUUUUCGCUGAAGAGCACCAGGAAAAAGGAUCGUCGCUUUAGAAAGACUGGGAUUUCAGAAAUGAAACAAUUGUAUCAGCCUCACCACCUAUAGGCAGCCUGUUCUCUGGACUUAUACAUGUCCACUGUCGCCACUUCAACCGCUUAAUGCGAUUUCAUCGAUGGUAUUGGUAUAGAAGCAUGUCACCGCCAUUCUCACCAGUCACGGGAAACUCAAGGCCCUUC